rnacentral:rRNA from 1 species
GACGAACGCUGGCGGCGUGCCUAAUACAUGCAAGUAGAACGCAGUUGCGAACGGGUGAGUAACGCGUAGGUAACUGCCUCAUAGCGGGGGAUAACUAUUGGAAACGAUAGCUAAUACCUCAUACUGUGAGAUGGACCUGCGUUGUAUUAGCUAUUUGGUGAGGGAAAGGCUCACCAAGGCGACGAUACAUAGCCGACCGGAGAGGGUGAUCGGCUACACUUACACUGAGACACGGCCCCGAUCCCUACGGGAGGCAGCAGUAGGGAAUAGUCGUCUAUGUACGGAAGUCUGACCGAGCAACGCCCCGUGAGUGAGGACGAUUUUCGGAUCGUAAGGCUCUGUUGGUAGAUAAACGGUAACUAACCAGAAAGGGACGGCUAACUACGUGCCAGCCGCCGCGGUAAUUC